GUGCUGAUGACGAGUCCAAAACAAGGACGGACGAAGCAGCUGUCCAGUAC
rnacentral:hammerhead_ribozyme from 1 species